AUUGAACGCUGGCGGCAGGCUUAACACAUGCAAGUCGAACGAGUGGCGGACGGGUGAGUAAUGCUUGGGAAUCUGGCUGAUGGAGGGGGAUAACUACGGGAAACGGUAGCUAAUACCGCAUACCAUCGGAUGAGCCCAAGUGGGAUUAGGUAGUGGGUGAGGUAAAGGCUCACCAAGCCGACGAUCCCUAGCUGGUCUGAGAGGAUGACCAGCCACACUGGGACUGAGACACGGCCCAGACUCCUACGGGAGGCAGCAGUGGGGAAUAUUGCGCAAUGGGCGCAAGCCUGACGCAGCCAUGCCGCGUGUAUGAAGAAGGCCUUCGGGUUGUAAAGUUCUUUCGGUAGGGAGGCGUUACCCACAGAAGAAGCACCGGCUAACUCCGUGCCAGCAGCCGCGGUAAUAC
rnacentral:rRNA from 1 species